rnacentral:piRNA from 1 species
UAUAGAUCGAAGCUCAUCGUC